AGUUCGAUCAUGGCUCAGAUUGAACGCUGGCGGGAUGCUUUACACGCCGCAAGUCGAACGGCAGCACGGACUUCGGUCUGGUGGCGAGUGGCGAACGGGUGAGUAAUGUAUCGGAACGUGCCUAGUAGCGGGGGAUAACUACGCGAAAGCGUAGCUAAUACCGCAUACGCCCUUCGAGGAAAGCGGGGGACCUUCGGGCCUCGCACUAAUGAAGCGGCCGAUAUCGGAUUAGCUAGUUGGUGGGAGUAACGGCUCACCAAGGCGACGUCCGUAGCUGGUUUGAGAGGACGACCAGCCACACUGGGACUGAGACGCAGCCCAGACUCCUACAGGCGCAGCGGUGAAAUUUUGGACAAUGGGGGAAACCCUGAUCCAGCCAUCCCGCGUGUGCGAUGAAGCCUUCGGGUUGUAAAAGCACUUUUGGCAGGAAAGAAACGGCACGGGAUAAUACCCCGUGCAACUGACGGCAAACACACCUGCAGAAUAAGCGCAAUAACUACGUGCCAGCAGCCGCGGUAAUACGUAAGGUGCAGGCGUUAAUCGGAAUUACUGGGCCGUAAAGCGUGCGCAGGCGGUUCGGAAAGAAGAUGUGAAAUCCCAGAGCUUACUUUGGAACUGCAUUUUUAACUACCGAGCUAAGAGUGUGUCAGAGGGAGGUGGAAUUCCCGCGUGUAGCAGUGAAAUGCGUAGAUAUGCGGAGGAGCCUGCCGAUGGCGGAGGCAGCCUCCUGGGAUAACAUGACGCUCAUGCACGAAAGCGUGGGAGCAAACAGGAUUAGAUACCCUGGUAGUCCACGCCCUAAACGAUGUCAACUAGCUGUUGGGGCCUUCGGGCCUUGGUAGCGCAGCUAACGCGUGAAGUUGACCGCCUGGGGAGUACGGUCGCAAGAUUAAAACUCAAAGGAAUUGACGGGGACCCGCACAAGCGGUGGAUGAUGUGGAUUAAUUCGAUGCAACGCAGAAAACCUUACCUACCCUCGACAUGUCUGGAAUCCCGAAGAGAUUUGGAGUGCUCGCAAAGGAAGAACCGGAGACACAGGUGCUGCAUGGCUGUCGUCAGCUCGUGUCGUGAGAUGUUGGGUUAAGUCCCGCAACAGGCGCAACCCUUGUCAUUAGUUGCUACGAAAGGGCACUCUAAUGAGACUGCCGGUGACAAACCGGAGGAAGGUGGGGAUGACGUCAAGUCCUCAUGGCCCUUAUGGGUAGGGCUUCACACGUCAUACAAUGGUCGGGACAGAGGGUCGCCAACCCGCGAAGAGGGGGAGCCAAUCCCAGAAACCCGAUCGUAGUCGGAUCGCAGUCUGCAACUCGACUGCGUGAAGUCGGAAUCGCUAGUAAUCGCGGAUCAGCAUGUCGCAGUGGGCCACGUUCCCGGGUCUUGUACACACCGCCCGUCACACCAUGGGAGUGGGUACCAAGUAGUUAGCCUAACCGUAAGGAGGGCGAUUACCACGGUAGGAUUCAUGACUGGGGUGAAGUCAUGCUUGAGUAG
rnacentral:rRNA from 1 species